rnacentral:misc_RNA from 1 species
AACACUGUUAACCUGCGGUACCUGCGGAAGGAUCAUCAAUGAAUCUAACUCAUAUCCACCCUUGUGAACUGUGCCGGCGCCUCCGGAGCACCCGGGGGCUGCCGACAACCAUUUAUUUGGGUAUUUGGCGGGAUUAGUUUGAGCCGCUCUGCGCUCUUCUCCUUUCCCCCACCUCUUUGGGCUAGUAUAGUGCAGGGGGGGUGGCAGAAAAGGGGGGGGGGCAGCUCGCUGCCCGCCAAU